rnacentral:rRNA from 1 species
GACGUAGGAGGCGAGCGUUAUCCGGAUUCAUUGGGCGUAAAGAGCUCGUAGGCGGCUUGUCGCGUCGACUGUGAAAACCCGUGGCUCAACCAUGUGGUCUGCAGUCGAUACGGGCAGGCUAGAAUUCGGUAGGGGAGACUGGAAUUCCUGGUGUAGCGGUGAAAUGCGCAGAUAUCAGGAGGAACACCGGUGGCGAAGGCGGGUCUCUGGGCCGAUAUUGACGCUGAGGAGCGAAAGCGUGGGGAGCAAACAGG